rnacentral:rRNA from 1 species
CCAUGCAUGUCUCAGUACAAGCCAAAUUAAGGUGAAACCGCGAAAGGCUCAUUAAAUCAGUUAUGGUUCCUUAGAUCGUACCCACACUUACUUGGAUAACUGUGGUAAUUCUAGAGCUAAUACAUGCAAACAGAGCUCCGACCAGAGAUGGAAGGAGUGCUUUUAUUAGAACAAAACCAAUCGGUGACGGGGGUUUACACUCACGUCAUCGUUCAAUUUGGUGACUCUGAAUAACUUUACGCUGAUCGCACGGUCAUCGCACCGGCGACGCAUCUUUCAAAUGUCUGCCUUAUCAACUUUCGAUGGUAGGUUCUGCGCCUACCAUGGUUGUAACGGGUAACGGGGAAUCAGGGUUCGAUUCCGGAGAGGGAGCCUGAGAAACGGCUACCACAUCCAAGGAAGGCAGCAGGCGCGCAAAUUACCCACUCCCGGCACGGGGAGGUAGUGACGAAAAAUAACGAUGCGGGACUCUUAUGAGGCCCCGUAAUCGGAAUGAGUACACUCUAAACCCUUUAACGAGGAUCAAUUGGAGGGCAAGUCUGGNGCCAGCAGCNGCGGUAAUUCCAGCUCCAAUAGCGUAUAUUAAAGUUGUUGCGGUUAAAAAGCUCGUAGUCGAAUUUGUGUUUCGUGCCGUCGGUUCAUCGUCCGCGGUGUUAACUGGCGAGUCACGAGACGUCCUGCCGGUGGACUGGUGCUCGCAAGGGUAUCGGUCCAAAUCAAUCCUGCCGCGGUGCUCUUCAUCGAGUGUCGAGGUGGGCCGGCACGUUUACUUUGAACAAAUUAGAGUGCUUAAAGCAGGCUAAAACUUCGCCUGAAUACUGUGUGCAUGGAAUAAUGGAAUAGGACCUCGGUUNUAUUUUGUUGGUUUUCGGAANUCCGAGGUAAUGAUUAAUAGGAACGGAUGGGGGCAUUNGUAUUGCGACGUUAGAGGUGAAAUUNUUGGAUCGUCGCAAGACGGACAGAAGCGAAAGCAUUUGCCAAAAACGCUUUCAUUGAUCAAGAACGAAAGUUAGAGGUUCGAGGCGAUCAGAUACCGCCCUAGUUCUAACCAUAAACGAUGCCAGCUAGCGAUCCGUCGACGUUCUUUUUAUGACUCGACGGGCAGCUUCCGGGAAACCAAAGCUUUUGGGUUCCGGGGGAAGUAUGGUUGCAAAGCUGAAACUUAAAGGAAUUGACGGAAGGGCACCACCAGGAGUGGAGCCUGCGGCUUAAUUUGACUCAACACGGGAAACCUCACCAGGCCCGGACACCGGAAGGAUUGACAGAUUGAGAGCUCUUUCUUGAUUCGGUGGGUGGUGGUGCAUGGCCGUUCUUAGUUGGUGGAGCGAUUUGUCUGGUUAAUUCCGAUAACGAACGAGACUCUAGCCUGCUAAAUAGGCGUAUUUUGACAUCCUAAAGGCUCGCCGUUCUCGUUGGGUGUUUCGGCACUCGAUGUGGAUGUGCGCAGUUUUUACUGUCGGCGUACAAUUAAUUCUUCUUAGAGGGACAGGCGGCUUCUAGCUGCACGAGAUUGAGCAAUAACAGGUCUGUGAUGCCCUUAGAUGUUCUGGGCCGCACGCGCGCUACACUGAAGGAAUCAGCGUGUCCUCCCUGGCCGAACGGCCCGGGUAACCCGCUGAACCUCCUUCGUGCUAGGGAUUGGGGCUUGCAAUUGUUCCCCAUGAACGAGGAAUUCCCAGUAAGCGCGAGUCAUAAGCUCGCGUUGAUUACGU